rnacentral:rRNA from 1 species
CGGAACGCUGGCGGGAUGCUUUACACAUGCAAGUCGAACGGCAGCACGGACUUCGGUCUGGUGGCGAGUGGCGAACGGGUGAGUAAUGUAUCGGAACGCCUAGUAGCGGGGGAUAACUACGCGAAAGCGCAGCCAAUACCGCACAAUACGCCCUUCGGGGGAAAGCGGGGACCUUCGGGCCUCGCACUAUUAGAGCGGCCGAUAUCGGAUUAGCUAGUUGGUGGGGUAACGGCUCACCAAGGCGACGAUCCGUAGCUGGUUUGAGAGGACACCAGCCACACUGGGACUGAGACACGGCCCAGACUCCUACGGGAGGCAGCAGUGGGGAAUUUUGACAAUGGGGGAACCCUGAUCCAGCCAUCCCUGCGUGUGCGAUGAAGGCCUUCGGGUUGUAGCACUUUGGCAGGAAGAAUGCACGGAUAAUACCCCGUGCAACUGACGGUACCUGCAGAAUAAGCACCGGCUAACUACGUGCCAGCAGCUGCGGUAAUACGUAGGGUAAGCGUUAAUCGGAAUUACCGGGCGUAAAGCGUGCGCAGGCGGUUCGGAAAGAAAGAUGUGAAAUCCAGAGCUUAACUUCUUUGGAACUGCAUUUCUUUAACUACUGAGCUAGAGGUGUCAGAGGGAGGUGGAAUUCCGCGUAGCAGUGAAAUGCGUAGAUAUGCGGAGGAACGCCGAUGGCGAAGGCAGCCUCCUGGGAUAACACUGACGCUCAUGCACGAAAGUGUGGGGAGCAAACAGGAUUAGAUACCCUAGUAGUCCACGCUCCCAAAACGAUGUCAACUAGCUGUUGGGGCCUUCGGGCCUUGGUAGCGCAGCUAACGCGUGAAGUUGACCGCCUGGGGAGUACGGUCGCAAGAUUAAAACUCAAAGGAAUUGACGGGGACCCGCGCAAGCGGUGGAUGAUGUGGAUUACCCUGAUGCAACGCGAAAAACCUACCUACCCUUGACAUGUCUGGAAUCCCGAAGAGAUUUGGGAGUGCUCGCAAGAGAACCGGGAACACAGGUGCUGCAUGGCUGUCGUCAGCUCGUGUCGUGAGAUGUUGGGUUAAGUCCCGGCAACGAGCGCAACUUGUCAUUAGUUGCUACGUGAAAGGGCACUCUAAUGAGACUGCCGGUGACAAACCGGAGGAAGGUGGGGAUGACGUCAAGUCCUCAUGGCCCUUAUGGGUAGGGCUUCACACGUCAUACAAUGGUCGGGACAGAGGGUCGCCAACCCGCGAGGGGGAGCCAAUCCCAGAAACCCGAUCGUAGUCCGGAUCGCAGUCUGCAACUCGACUGCGUGAAGUCGGAAUCGCUAGUAAUCAUGGAUCAGCAUGUCGCGGUGAAUAUUGCCCCUCGGGUCUUGUACACACCGCCCGUCACACCAUGUGGAGUGGGUUUCAACAGAAGUGCUAGCUCAACCGUGCAAGGGAGGGCGAUUACCACUAGGAUCUAUGACUGGGGUGAAGUCGUAACAAGGCAG